rnacentral:lncRNA from 1 species
UACAAGUCAUGAUGACAAUUUCAUACCACAUAAUUCCUCCAUAGUCUUUAGAUGAUGGAAAACAUAUACAUGAAAAUAUUUAGGCCACACUAAUCAAUGAUACAAAUCACAAACAACAAUAUAUUGUAGUAAUAAAAAGACAGCCAAGCAAUCUAAGAAUUGAACAAACACAUUUAAUAGUAAUAAUAUAGUACAUAGAUUUCAUAAACUUCUUAAGAUCGUUAUUACAUUAAUUAUCCAAUUUAUGUGAUAAUUUGAAAAUCGAAAAUAAACAUUCACUCUUGCACAAAUACAAGUUAUUAUGACAAUUUCAUGCUAGUACAACAUAAUUCCUCCAUGGUCUUUGCAUGAUGGGAAAAAGAUACACAUGAAAUUAUUCAUGAACACAACAUAAUACAUAUAAUCUUAAAGUACAAAUAAACCCCAACAGAAACACCAUCAAAAUACCUUAAAUAACAUUUAACAAACACAUUCAAUACUUAGAAUAUACUCCAUAAUACAUCUUUUCGGUACUUAUGGCUUAGGCACACUUGGAAUAGUAGGCAAUGGAAGUGUUGGCAAUGUAGGUAGAGUAGCUACUGUUGGAAGAGUAGGCAAAGUAGGUAGAGUAGCUAUUGUUGGAAGAGUAGGAAGUGUUGGCAAAUCAACUUUAGAAACUUGAUGUAUGUUUAGAAGGUUACGUGCUCCUUCAACAUUUGUGAUUGAUGAAAAUGUUAUGAGCAGAACAAGUGGUAUAAUGAAUGAUAAAACAUUGAUGGAAGCCAUUCUUUUGAAGCUAGAAAGCUUAGUAUUAUGUCUAUGUGAUGAUAGUUUUGGUGUGUUUGAGUUUAUGUGUGUGUUGGCCUUUUAUAGACAAACUUUUUCGUAUCAAGUGACGAGGAUAAGAUAAGUAUUGUGUGGUUUAAU